CCUACGGGUGGCAGCAGUGGGGAAUAUUGGACAAUGGGGGGAACCCUGAUCCAGCGACGCCGCGUGAGUGAAGAAGUAUUGCGGUAUGUAAAGCUCUAACAGCAGGGAAGAAAAUGACGGUACCUGACUAAGAAGCCCCGGCGAACUACGUGCAAGCAGCCGCGGUAAUACGUAGGGGGCAAGCGUUAUCCGGAUUUACUGGGUGUAAAGGGAGCGUAGACGGUGCAGCAAGUCUGAUGGGAAAGGUCGGGGCCCAACCCCGGGACUGCUUUGGAAACGGUUGAACUGGAGUACAGGAGCGGUAAGCGGAUUUCCUAGUGUAGCGGUGACAUGCGUAGCUAUUAGGCGGACCACCAGUGGCG
rnacentral:rRNA from 1 species